rnacentral:lncRNA from 1 species
UCAAAUCAUAAAUAUAGAUAUUAGUUUAUAGGAUCACUUGUAAACUUGAUUUUUUUUUUCUUUUUUAGCGAUGUGGCAACCGGCACAUCUCUGACACUUUUAUAUUAUUACUUUUCAUGAAAACAUAUAUAUUUAAAUUAGUUCUUAGUUAUUUAUACACGAGAAAGGAAUAAAAUGUUAACUCUUAAAUUAUAAAAAUUAAAAUUCAAUAUUUAUAUGUAAAUAUUGUGAUAUAAAUACAUUUAAGCAGAAAAUAUAUUUACCAUAUAUACCCCGUAUAU